rnacentral:rRNA from 1 species
GACGAACGCUGGCGGCGUGCUUAACACAUGCAAGUCGAACGGAAAGGCCCGGCUUUUGUGGGUUGCUCGAGUGGCGAACGGGUGAGUGACACACGAGUAACCUGCCCUUGACUUAGGGAUAAAUUCACGAAACUGGGGCUAAUACCGGAUAGGAGCUCCUGCAGCAUGGGGGGGGUUGGAGAGUGUCGGCGGUGGGGGAUGGACUCGCGGGUUAUCGGCUUGUUGGUGGGGUAGGGGCUGACCAAGGCUUCGAAGGGUAGGCGGCCUGAGAGUGGGGCCGGCCACCUUGGGACUGAGCUACGGCCCAGAGUCCUACGGGAGGCAGCAGGGGGGAAUAUGGCCCAAUGGGGCGAAGCCUGAUGCAGCAACGCCGCGUGCGGGAUGACGGCCUUCGGGUUGAAAACCGCUUUCGCCGGUGACGAAGAGUGAGUGACGGUAACGGAUAAAGAAGCACCGGCUAACUACGUG